GAAAUGCGAUAAUUAAUGUGAAUUGCAGAAUUCAGUGAAUCAUCGAGUCUUUGAACGCACAUUGCGCCCCCUGGUAUUCCGGGGGGCAUGCCUGUCCGAGCGUCAUUGCUGCCCUCAAGCACGGCUUGUGUGUUGGGCUUCCGUCCCUGGCAACGGGGACGGGCCCAAAAGGCAGUGGCGGCACCAUGUCUGGUCCUCGAGCGUAUGGGGCUUUGUCACCCGCUCCCGUAGGUCCAGCUGGCAGCUAGCCUCGCAACCAAUCUUUUUACCAGGUUGACCUCGGAUCAGGUAGGGAUACCCGCUGAACUUAAGC
rnacentral:misc_RNA from 1 species